AUUAAACGCUGGCGGCAUGCCUUACACAUGCAAGUCGAACGGCAGCACGGGGGCAACCCUGGUGGCGAGUGGCGGACGGGUGAGUAAAGCAUCGGAACGUAUCCUGGAGUGGGGGAUAACGUAGCGAAAGUUACGCUAAUACCGCAUAUUCUGUGAGCAGGAAAGCAGGGGAUCGCAAGACCUUGCGCUCUGGGAGCGGCCGAUGUCGGAUUAGCUAGUUGGUGGGGUAAAGGCCUACCAAGGCGACGAUCCGUAGCGGGUCUGAGAGGAUGAUCCGCCACACUGGGACUGAGACACGGCCCAGACUCCUACGGGAGGCAGCAGUGGGGAAUUUUGGACAAUGGGCGCAAGCCUGAUCCAGCCAUGCCGCGUGAGUGAAGAAGGCCUU
rnacentral:rRNA from 1 species